UAUACUAUAACUUCUUUAUUUUCUAAGGUAUUUACUCCAAACUUCAAAUGUAUGUUCCUUAAAAAAACCUGCAUCAUGUGUAACAAGAUUAAUUAUUCUUACACAAACAUUUUGAGAAUAAUUUCCCUAUUGAAUUUCAAAAUGUUAUUUUUACUAUAACAUCUAUAUUUCUCUUCAAAUAUAUAUUUCUUAUCAUCUCCCACAUCAUGUGUGAAAAGAUUAAUUAUUCUUACACAAAUAUUUUGAGAAUAAUUUUCCCUUUGAACAUUUUUUCUAAAAUUCAUUAUUUUUUGGCUUACUUCAUUGUUUCAUUGAGGAUUUAUUUACAACUACAAAUUUUAAGUUUCAUAACAACUCCCAUAUUUUCAUUUGACAUGGUUUAUAACUCUGGUGUCAAUAUUUCAGAAUUGUCUCCCCCUUAAUUUUAGAAUUUUCCCUAUUUUGAGCUCACUUUAGCACAAAGUGUGAACAUUUGUGAUGGCAGUAAGGCUGUUGUUUGUUGUCAACUGCUAUCCAUAAUUUCUGUAAACAACAUGAACCACAUAAAGGAUUGUGACCAAACUUUACAGGAAUGAUUCUUAGCUGGUCCUCUUCAAAAUGUAUAUAAAUGGUUUCAGUCUGAUGCAUAAGUAGGUCAUUGGAGCUAAACACAGACUUUAAGUAAUAUUUAUAAAUCAUGCUGCUUGGGUAAAAAAUUACCUGUUCCUAGAGGUCACUUAUAAAGGCUUAUAUAGGAAAAUACAAUUAAGUCUUCUGCCCAUAUCUUAUAUAUUUGACAUAGGUUAUGCCCCUGAGGUCAAGAUUUGCCCAGGCCUGGAGGUCCCUUAGUUUACAUAGACAUGUAUAAUAAAAAUGUUUUAAAGAUAUUUUUCUCUUAAAAUGCAACACCCUGACUUAAGAUAUUUUGCAUGUAGAAUCACCACUAAAGUUAAAUAAAUAAUGAACCUGGGAUCACAAAUGGCCCAGCCAUAGAUAAAUAUAAAAAUACAUUUAAGUAUAUUUGUAUUAAACUGCAAUACCUAGACAUUAGAUGUUUGGCAUGUUGCAUUGCUAAGAGGACCUCAACAAAAGUUAUAAAAAUCAUGCCCCCCAGGGUCAAAAUUGGUCCAACCCCGGGGUCAUUUAAUUUAUAAAGGCUUGUAUAGUAAAAAUAUCUUAAUAGGCUUCUGAGAAACUACAAUGGCUGGAUCUUAGAUAUUUGACAUGAUACAUCAUCUUGUGGUCCUCUACAAAAAGUUAUCUAAAGCAUACCCUGGGGUCAAAAUUUGCCCUGCCCUGUUGAUGAGUUACUUUAUAUAGACUUUAGUUUUGUAAGUUCAACACAUAAAAUUUCUUUGAGGUACAUGAAAAUUUGAAGAAAAAAAACUCAUGUUGAAACAUGUAUUGUUUGAUUUUAUUAACCUGUCAAUUCCAUACUGAUUAUACGGUCAAUGCACAGAAUAUAUUGAUAUCCGAUAAAUGUUCGGUAAAUUCCAAGAGAUGUAGGCAGUAAGAUGUGAUUAAAUUAAUCUUGUUUCUAUGAAGUAGUUACACUGACCGUUAUAGCAAAAUAGGGUAAACUACGGGUAUAUAAUAUCUAGAUGCCUUACUUGUUGUAAGAUCGAGACAGCGUAUGUCCAUUUUUGAGUCGCCUCUACGGAGUAGUGGCGACAUAUAGGGAUCACUUCUCCGUCGUCUGUCUGUCCAUCUGUCUGUCUGUCUGUCACAAAAUUUGUCCGGACUACUCCUCAUAAACUACGGGUGCAAUUUCAUCCAAACUUUACAGGAAUGAUCAGUACCAAGUCUAGUUGUGCAUAUUGUCAGCAUUUUCCGGUUCAAUAGUUUUUGUCAGAGUUAUGGCCCUUUAAUAAUUUUUAUUUUUAAAGUUUGUCCGGACUACUUCUCUUAUACCACUAAUGCAAUUUCAAUGAAACUUUACAGGAUUGAUCUGUAGCUCAAGUCCUUGCGCAUAUUGCACGGGUUUUCCGGUUGAAUGAUUUUUGGCCGAGUUAUGGCCCUUUGAUAAAAAGGUGUUUUUUUCUGUGUGUUGCCAGAUACACAAAAGCUUGUCCGGACUACUCCUCAUAAACUACUGGUGCAAUUUCAUCCAAACUUUACAGGAAUGAUCAGUACCAAGUCUAGUUGUGCAUAUUGUCAGCAUUUUCCGGUUCAAUGAUUUUUGUCAGAGUUAUGGCCCUUUAAUAAUUUUUAUUUUUAAAGUUUGUCUAGACUACUUCUCUUAUACCACUUAUGCAAUUUCAAUGAAACUUUACAGGAUUGAUCUGUAGCUCAAGUCCUUGCGCAUAUUGCACGGGUUUUUCGGUUGAAUGAUUUUUGGCCGAGUUAUGGCCCUUUGAUAAAAAGGUAUUUUUUUGCUGUGUGUUGCCAGAAACACAAAAGCUUGUCCAGACUACUCCUCAUAAACUACUGGUGCAAUUUUAUCCAAACUUUACAGGAAUGAUCAGUACCAAGUCUAGUUGUGCACUGUCCGUCUGUCACAAAACUUGUCCCAACAUGAAAUUGGCCAUCAUGAGGCGACACAUGUGAUCACUGAUCGCUCUUGUUUUCUUAUUCCUAACUAUUUUCAACAUUUUUGAAGUUAUGGCUGUUCUUUCUGUUUUAAUAUGCUUUGCAUUUUUUUUUGGUAAAUACUAUACUUGUUUAAGAAUUAAUAUUUAAAAUUCAUUUGGAUUAAAAUCAAUAAAUGUCAUUUCAGUGCCGUAAAAUACAAUACAAAACGUGACAAUUCAAUGUUUCUUAGUUGUUUCAUAUCCGUGUAGACAAUUUUGCAAACGCUUGACAAUUUUCAUUAAAAUAUACUUAAAUAUAAAGAAAGAAUAAGCCUAAAAAGAAUUUAAAAAGAGUUGAUCGAACUUCGGACCUCUCAUACAUUAGGUAAUCACUUAACCGACUCUGCUAUUGCGGAUGUUACGAGAAUCUACAUUAAGCUAGUGGGAGUUUUCAAAAUCUUAGUCAUAUACUCCAUAUUUAUUCUCCUAAAAUAAACGGACAAACCCGAAGUGGGAUCAAAUAUUUAAAUGAGUGCUAUAAUGUAUUCAUAAUUGACAGGUCAAUAAAAACAGACUAUAAAUAUAUUUUCUUUGCAAAAGUUUGUUCCAAGAAUGGAGAAACUUAACAUUGUAAGGGUGAAGGGUUGAUUUACAUUGGUUGCCUGCAUCUAGAACUAGUUAUAUUAUAAAAAUGAUUUAUGUUUAAAUCAGGAGGAUUUUAGCUGGAUUUUAUAAAAACCUGCUUGUUUUCUAUAGAUAGACAUUUAGACAAAAAUCCACUUAUUUGAAGAGAAUAUUAAUUUUCUUCAACAGAAAAAUAUUACUCUGCUUAGAAUAUAAAAAAGAAGCUCUAUAAAUACAAAUCCUUUAAUGAAAAUAAAUAUUUUGCACCAGUAUUUGAGAAAGCCUCUUUUAUUAUUUUCUGAUAAACAUAAAACAGUAGCAUGUGUUAACAUAUAAUACACAAAUACAUAAACACACAGGGAAGUGUUGUGCUGUAUGUAUCGACUGUAAACCCUAUAUUUUCAAUAUCAGCAUCUUUACUAACACAGGAUAUUUUAAUACAUUUGAGAACUUGUUGUGGAGGACUGAAGAAAAAUGGCAAACUGUAGCUGGCUAUGGAGUCUAAUAUGGUUCAUAAUUCUUCUCGUAUUUGGAUUUCCAAUUGGCUUUUUCUGUGCCAUACUCUAUGUACUGAUAAGCCCAUUUUCGGCUUGCUGCACAGGAUGUAUGGAAGUUGUUAACUUAUUAGAAAGAGGACUUAAGUUACCAAUGACAAUCUCACAGAAUAUGGUCAGUGGAAAGUCACUGUGCUAGUUUUAAAGUACAAUAAAUAUAACAAAUGUAUUGUGAAAGGAUUGACACGGACAGCAAAAUUUUCUACAAUUUAUUCAAUUGAAGUGGAUUGUGCUGAAUAUAUGGGGACCAAAAUAAUUACAAAUGCAUGAAUGAUGAUAUUUGUUUAGAGAAGUUUGGAAUAUCUAGCUGCUCAAUAACCUGUAUCAUGGGAUAUACAAGUCGUAAUAUAGCUGCCAUAUUUCUGAUAACCAAUCAAUAUAAUAGCUAGAAAUGUGAGAGCAGUUGAUAUAUUGUAUUGAUUUAAGACAUUGCUUUUUUGAGUGAAGAAGAUGAUCCUUGAUAUACAUUUGUAGAAAAGUGCUUUUUAUAUCUAUAUUGAAUAUACUCAUUAUAAACUGCUUUUAGGACCAUUUUUAAGCUUUUAAUAAUUUACUAUUAAAUGAUAUUUUGUCUAUCUAGUGCCUUUUUACAAUAUUUGUAUAUUUUUCUUAUUUGUGUAGGUGAAUAUUGAUAUAGAGUAUAUUUUGCUCCUGUAAUGUGUAAACUAAUUUGUUUCUCAUGAUAAAAACAAAAACAUUCAGGAUUUUUUUUUUAUUCUAUAUAAAUAUAAUGGGUGCCAAUUAAGGUUAAAAAACAUUUUUUGAGCUCUGUCUCAACUCUUAAGUUUUAGUUUAUUCAUUGGUCAGUGUCACUGUCCAUUCCUUGUCAGUUUCUGACCAAUCAAAUACCAGAGAUCUGAAUUUGGGGAAAGAAAAUCUUUUUAUAACCUCAAACCUAGUUAGCAAGUGAAGGUAACUAGUUCUGGUAAACUGCUUGACAACCUGCCCAGGAACGAUGCGACGACUGAACUGUGCUCUGGUAAUUAAAUGUGGCCUACUGUCGUGAUCUGGAGUGAAAACUACCAACACCGCAAGUGAGGGGAUUAGCUUAGAUUUGCUUUUCAACUAUUAGAUUGUGUCCUUGUUUGUAAUUAUUAAGUGUGUCUUAUAUUUAUCAUUUGUAAUAAUUACUCUUUAAGAAACAAUUGAAGAACAUACAUAUACUAGCUUUGCAGUUGGUUUAUUUAAGUAUAACUUUUGAGGAUGAUUUUUUUUUUUUGCUAUUUAAUGAAAUUUUUAUUCUUGAUGUAACAUGCUGAUACGACUAUAGUAUCCUUGUAUUGCAAUAUAUGAUUUCAUGCAAUAAUGUUCAGUGUGACAUACUUUCAUCAUGAAAAUCCCCUCAACUCUUGGUUUUUUAUAAUAAAUGCAUUGCUUAAUUAUUUGCAAUUGAUUUGUGUAGUAAUAAAAUUAUAAUUUAA